ensembl:lncRNA
ACAGUCAGAAGCCAGCCAGACAAGCCCAGGAAGGAGUACUACAUUGAUUCAUGACCAGACCUGCCGAUUUCCCACUCAUCCUAAUCAUUCUUCUAAGGAGGGGCUCCAGGCUGCUGGAGAAGCCAGUACCUUGCGCGUUGCAGUUGCCAGAAAGAGG